GAGUCCAUCGGGGAAAGGGAGGCCUCUGGCAACAUGCUUCCGCUCCGGGAGGGCCCAUGGCCCAUCAGCUAGUUGGGAGGGUAACGGCCUACAGGCGAAGACGGGUAGCUGGUCUGAGAGGACGAUCAGCCACACUGGCACUGAGACACGGGCCAGACUCCUACGGGAGGCAGCAGUGAGGAUUUUGCGCAAUGGGGGCAACCCUGACGCAGCAACGCCGCGUGUGGGAAGAAGGCUUUCGGGUUGUAAACCACUUUUGUAAGGGACGAAGUCCCUUCGGCAAAUAACCGAGGGGGAUGACGGUACCUUGCGAUAAGCCACGGCUAACUCUGUGCCAGCAGCCGCGGUAAGACAGGGGUGGCAAGCGUUGUUCGGAGUAACUGGGCGUAAAGGGUCUGUAGGUGGUUUUUCAAGUCUUUGGUAAAACGCCGUGGCUCAACCAUGGUUUGGCCAAGGAGACUGGGAGACUCGAGGCUGGGAGAGGGAAGCGGAAUUUCUGGUGUAGCGGUGAAAUGCGUAGAGAUCAGAAAGAAGGCCGGUGGCGAAGGCGGCUUCCUGGAACAGACCUGACACUGAGAGACGAAAGCGUGGGAGCAAACAGGAUUAGAUACCCUGGUAGUCCACGCCCUAAACGAUGGGAACUAAGUGUGGGGAGCAAUCCCCGUGCCGCAGCUAACGCAAUAAGUUCCCCGCCUGGGGAGUACGGCCGCAAGGUUGAAACUCAAAGGAAUUGACGGGGGCCCGCACAAGCGGUGGUGCAUGUGGUUUAAUUCGACGCAACGCGAGGAACCUUACCUGGGUUUGACAUGGCGCUGGUAGUGAACCGAAAGGGGAACGACCCCGCAAGGGGAGGCGUCACAGGUGCUGCAUGGCUGUCGUCAGCUCGUGCCGUGAGGUGUUGGGUUAAGUCCCGCAACGAGCGCAACCCCCGCCCUUUGUUGCUACCGGGUAAAGCCGGGCACUCGAAGGGGACUGCCAGCGAAGAGUUGGAGGAAGGUGGGGAUGACGUCAAGUCAUCAUGGCCUUUAUAUCCAGGGCGACACACGUGCAACAAUGGCCGGUACAGACGGAGGCGAGCCCGUAAGGGGGAGCAAAUCCGAGAAAGCCGGUCUCAGUUCGGAUUGAGGUCUGCAACUCGACCUCAUGAAGUCGGAAUCGCUAGUAAUCGCGUAUCAGACGACGCGGUGAAUACGUUCCCGGGCCUUGUACACACCGCCCGUCACACCACGAAAGUCUGUUGUACCCGAAGUCGGUGUCGAACCCGCAAGGGGACGAAGCCGCCCAAGGUAUGGCCGAUGAUUGGGGUGAAGUCGUAACAAGGUAGCCGAAGUCGUAACAAGGUAGCC
rnacentral:rRNA from 1 species